UACGUAGGGGGCAAGCGUUGUCCGGAAUUAUUGGGCGUAAAGAGCGUGUAGGCGGUCCGGUAAGUCAGCUGUGAAAGUCAAGGGCUCAACCCUUGAAUGCCGGUUGAUACUGUCGGGCUAGAGUCCGGAAGAGGCGAGUGGAAUUCCCGGUGUAGCGGUGAAAUGCGCAGAUAUCGGGAGGAACACCAAUGGCGAAGGCGGCUCGCUGGGACGGUACUGACGCUGAGACGCGAAAGCGUGGGGAGCGAACAGG
rnacentral:rRNA from 1 species